rnacentral:rRNA from 1 species
CACGUAGGGGGCAAGCGUUGUCCGGAUUCAUUGGGCGUAAAGGGCGCGUAGGUGGCCCGGUCAGUCCGUGGUGAAAGCGCGGGGCUCAACCCCGCGUCGGCCAUGGAUACUGCUGGGCUUGAGCACUGUAGAGGCAGGCGGAAUUCCAGGUGUAGCGGUGAAAUGCGUAGAUAUCUGGAGGAACACCGGUGGCGAAGGCGGCAUCCUGGACCGGUAUUGACGCUGAUGAGCGAAAGCCAGGGGAGCAAACGGG